AUAGUCUCACUCUUACCGCCUCACUCACUCCCCGACGAAGGUGAGAGAGAAAUCAGUUCCCGUCGAGUCCUCAUCGUCACGUCAUUUUUUGUUCACCAUCUCCUCCUCUAGUCACGCCAGCUCCUUUGCUCACUCCUUUGUCACAUAUCCUUGCAUCACCAUCUAGAUUUGCCAUUUCUCAUCGUCACAUCGUUCUUUUCUCACUAUUGCCUCCUCUGGUCUCGCCGCCUCCUCUGCUCACUCUUUUAUUGCAGAUCGUCGCAUCGCUGUCUAGAUCUGCCAUUCCUCAUCGCGACGUCGUUCUUUUCUCAUUAUUUUCUCCUCUGUUCUCGUCACCUCCUCUACUCACCCAUUUGUCAUCGAUUCUUGCAUCACUGUCCAGAUCUGUCGUUGCUUGUCAUUGUGUCGUUCUUUUAUCACUGCCACCUCCUCUGGUAACUUCUUCUCCGGCAACAACAACAAUAACAAUAGUUCGCCGAUGAAGCUAACAGGUGAUCAAACUGCUUUAGCAUUGCGAUAGUUUCUGGCUGCUUUCUCAUCCAAGAUUUCUUCAGAUACUAACCAUUCUUUUGGUGACGAGAAAGCUAAUGAAAACUUGGAUGAAGUGGUGACUCUUCCUAAAGACCUCCAAACUGAGGUUAAGGCAUUCUUUGAGGAAGGAAAAAAAAGUGCGCUUACUGAGAUUUAGAUUAUAAAUAUAUUUUAGUUUCUAACUGCCAAGCCUACUAUAUAGGAUUCUGAAAGCUUCUUGGGGUUUUUUGCUCCUUUUCGUGCAAAUGAAAUUCCUUUUUUUAUGCUUGUUCUUUGUAACAUUUGAGGUCCUUGACUAUAAAGUCAUCAAUGUA